rnacentral:rRNA from 1 species
CCUACGGGUGGCUGCAGUGGGGAAUAUUGGACAAUGGGGGGAACCCUGAUCCAGCCAUGCCGCGUGUGUGAAGAAGGCCCUCGGGUUGUAAAGCACUUUCAGUGAGGAAGAACGCCUGGUGGUGAAUACCCAUCAGGUAAGACAUCACUCACAGAAGAAGCACCGGCUAACUCCGUGCCAGCAGCCGCGGUAAUACGGAGGGUGCGAGCGUUAAUCGGAAUUACUGGGCGUAAAGCGCGCGUAGGUGGCUUGAUAAGCCGGUUGUGAAAGCCCCGGGCUCAACCUGGGAACGGCAUCCGGAACUGUCGAGCUAGAGUGCAGGAGAGGAAGGUAGAAUUCCCGGUGUAGCGGUGAAAUGCGUAGAGAUCGGGAGGAAUACCAGUGGCGAAGGCGGCUUUCUGGACUGACACUGACACUGAGGUGCGAAAGCGUGGGUAGCGAACAGGAUUAGAUACCCUAGUAGUC